UACGUAGGGUGCGAGCGUUGUCCGGAAUUAUUGGGCGUAAAGAGCUCGUAGGCGGCUUGUCGCGUCGGCUGUGAAAACUCGGGGCUUAACCCCGAGCCUGCAGUGGAUACGGGCAGACUAGAGGUAGGUAGGGGAGAAUGGAAUUCCCGGUGUAGCGGUGAAAUGCGCAGAUAUCGGGAGGAACACCGGUGGCGAAGGCGGUUCUCUGGGCCUUACCUGACGCUGAGGAGCGAAAGCGUGGGGAGCGAACAGG
rnacentral:rRNA from 1 species